AAGCUGCCGGAGUUAUUCUUCUUCACAUUUUCCUUUAUCUGUCUGUUUCUCAAAUCCUCAUUAGAAGUUGCUGGAGCUGGAGCUUGGAGGCUGGAGCUUGGAGCUUGGAGGCUGGAGCUGCUGCGGUAACUUGAAUGAAAGAUUUAACUACAGAGCAACCAAGCUUUAUAAUUGAUGAUGAGAGUUAUGACUUAAGUCUAUCAUACCAGAACUAGAAAAAUGUCAAGAAUAAGCUCAUAAAUUUUGGGACUCAUUGAAGAAGAAGCCACUAAAGUUGAUGGAACUUCCUACAAGGUUGCAGCCUACAAGUAUUAUAAAAUGUUGAGUCACUUGGGUGGACUAAUGUCUUUUUGUCU